rnacentral:lncRNA from 1 species
GCUUAGGGUGCCAACAUCGUUUGCUAACUUCUUAAUCACAAAGUUCUUUGUUUUUCCAUUCCUAUGUUCCAAACGGCUUCUUAUAAAUUUUUCCUGUGUUUUUUAUUUCUUUGUUUUGUAUGUGCAAUCCAUUCCAAUUCUUAUGUUUCUUCGUAUUCCUAUAUUUUGCAAUCCUGCGUUUCAAACGGGGCCUUACCGUUAAUUAGAGUCAACAAACAUAUCAAAUCAACCUCUUUGUUUUCGUUUGGGUUACCGGGCUAGCCAAGAUGCUGUAGAAAAAACAGCCCCUCACAUCUGAGGUCAUCACAUCACCUGCA